AGGCAUCUUUUUGUUUUUAAAAGACCUUCUUACGAAGGUAUGCUUAAAGAGGGGCUUGCGCCACAUUAGUUAGUUGGUAGAGUAAAAGCCUACCAAGACGAUGAUGUGUAGCUGGACUGAGAGGUUGAACAGCCACAUUGGGACUGAGACACGGCCCAAACUCCUACGGGAGGCAGCAGUAGGGAAUUUUCGGCAAUGGAGGAAACUCUGACCGAGCAACGCCGCGUGAACGAUGAAGUAUUUCGGUAUGUAAAGUUCUUUUAUUGAAGAAGAAAAAGUAGUGGAAAAACUAUAUUGACGUUAUUCAAUGAAUAAGCCCCGGCUAACUAUGUGCCAGCAGCCGCGGUAAGACAUAGGGGGCGAGCGUUAUCCGGAAUUAUUGGGCGUAAAGGGUGCGUAGGCUGUUAGAUAAGUCUAUAAUUUAAUUUCAGUGCUUAACGCUGUCUUGUUAUAGAAACUGUCUUGACUAGAGUGAGAUAGAGGCAAGCGGAAUUCCAUGUGUAGCGGUAAAAUGUGUAAAUAUAUGGAGGAACACCAGAAGCGUAGGCGGCUUGCUGGGUCUUUACUGACGCUGAGGCACGAAAGCGUGGGUAGCAAACAGGAUUAGAUACCCUGGUAGUCCACGCCGUAAACGAUGAGUACUAAGUGUCGGGGUAAAACUCGGUACUGAAGUUAACACAUUAAGUACUCCGCCUGAGUAGUACGUACGCAAGUAUGAAACUUAAAGGAAUUGACGGGACUCCGCACAAGCGGUGGAUCAUGUUGUUUAAUUCGAAGAUACACGAAAAAUCUUACCAGGUCUUGACAUACUCUGCAAAGCUAUAGAAAUAUAGUGGAGGUUAUCAGGGAUACAGGUGGUGCAUGGUUGUCGUCAGUUCGUGUCGUGAGAUGUUAGGUUAAGUCCUAAAACGAACGCAACCCUUGUCGUUAAUUGCCAGCACAUAAUGGUGGGGACUUUAACGAGACUGCCAAUUAAACAUUGGAGGAAGGUGAGGAUUACGUCAAAUCAUCAUGCCCCUUAUGAUCUGGGCUACAAACGUGAUACAAUGGCUGUGACAAAGAGUAGCUGAAACGCGAGUUUUUAGCCAAUCUCAAAAAAGCAGUCUCAGUUCGGAUUGAAGUCUGUAACUCGACUUCAUGAAGUUGGAAUCGCUAGUAAUCGCGAAUCAGCAUGUCGCGGUGAAUACGUUCUCGGGGUUUGUACACACCGCCCGUCAAACCACGAAAGUUAGCAAUGCCCGAAAGCAGUAGCUUAACUUCGCAAGAAGAGGGAACUGUCUA
rnacentral:rRNA from 1 species